UGGGGAAUUUUGGACAAUGGGCGAAAGCCUGAUCCAGCAAUGCCGCGUGUGUGAAGAAGGCCUUCGGGUUGUAAAGCACUUUUGUCCGGAAAGAAAUCCUUGGCUCUAAUACAGUCGGGGGAUGACGGUACCGGAAGAAUAAGCACCGGCUAACUACGUGCCAGCAGCCGCGGUAAUACGUAGGGUGCAAGCGUUAAUCGGAAUUACUGGGCGUAAAGCGUGCGCAGGCGGUUUGCUAAGACCGAUGUGAAAUCCCCGGGCUCAACCUGGGAACUGCAUUGGUGACUGGCAGGCUAGAGUAUGGCAGAGGGGGGUAGAAUUCCACGUGUAGCAGUGAAAUGCGUAGAGAUGUGGAGGAACACCGAUGGCGAAGGCAGCCCCCUGGGCCAAUACUGACGCUCAUGCACGAAAGCGUGGGGAGCAAACAGGAUUAGAUACCCUGGUAGUCCACGCCCUAAACGAUGUCAACUAGUUGUUGGGGAUUCAUUUCCUUAGUAACGUAGCUAACGCGUGAAGUUGACCGCCUGGGGAGUACGGUCGCAAGAUUAAAACUCAAAGGAAUUGACGGGGU
rnacentral:rRNA from 1 species